GUCUACUAGGAAAAAAUAUGUAGUCUAACCUGCCCACUGAGUUUUAAAGGGCCGCGGUAUACUAACCGUGCUAAGGUAGCAUAAUCAAUAGCCUCCUAAUUAGAGGCUGGAAUGAAUGGUUGGACGAGAAAUUAGCUGUCUUAAUUAUAACUUCUGAAUUUUACUUUUAAGUGAGAAGGCUUAAAUUUAGUAAAGGGACGAUAAGACCCUAUGAAGCUUUAUGCUUUACAUUUAUUAAUUUAAUAUUUGGGUGCUUAAAUUAUAAUUGCGUAUUGCAUUUAGCUGGGGCGGCACCAAUAUAACAUCUUUAAUAUAACUGUUGUUAAAAAAAAAUAAAUAUAUUUAGUAGUUAUGAUCCUCUAUUAGGGAUUAAAAAAUUAAAGUUACUCUAGGGAUAACAGCGUAAUUUCUCUUGAGAGUUCUUAUCGACAGAGAUAGUUGCGACCUCGAUGUUGAAUUAAAAUUUCGGCAAGGUGUAGGAGUUUUGUCAGUAGGUCUGUUCGACCUUUAAAAUUUUACAUGAUUUGAGUUCAGACCGGCGUG
rnacentral:rRNA from 1 species